GAUGAACGCUGGCGGCGUGCCUAAUACAUGCAAGUCGAGCGAACAGAUAAUGAGCUUGCGCCUUUGACGUUAGCGGCGGACGUGUGAGUAACACGUGUAUACCCUCCCUAUAAGACGGGUAUAACUUCGGGAAACCGGAGCUAAUACCGGAUAACCUCUUGAACCGCGUGGUUCGAUGGUGAAAUGCGGCUGUUCUGGCACUUAUAGAUGGAUCCGCGCCGUAUUAGCUAGUUGGUAAGGUAACGGCUUACCAAGGCAACGAUACGUAGCCGACCUGAGAGGGUGAUCGGCGACACGGGAAGUGAGACGCGGUUCAGACUCCUACGGGAGGCAGCAGUAGGGAACGUUAGGCAAAGGGCGAAAGCCUGACGGAGCAACGCCGCGUGAGUGAUGAAGGUGUUCGGAUCGUAAAACUCUGUUACCAGGGAAGAACAAAUGUGUCAGUAACUGUGCACAUCUUGACGGUAACUGAUCAGAAAGCCACGGCUAACUACGUG
rnacentral:rRNA from 1 species